AGAUUGAACGCUGGCGGCAUGCCUUACACAUGCAAGUCGAACGCGAAAGGGGGAGCAAUUCCCCGAGUAGAGUGGCGAACGGGUGAGUAAUACAUCGGAACGUAUCCAGUAGCGGGGGAUAACCUCUCGAAAGAGAGGCUAAUACCGCAUACGACCUACGGGUGAAAGAGGGGGAUCGCAAGACCUCUCACUAUUGGAGCGGCCGAUGUCGGAUUAGCUAGUUGGCGGGGUAAAAAGCCCAACCAAGGCUACGAUCCGUAGCUGGUCUGAGAGGACGACCAGCCACACUGGAACUGAGACACGGUCCAGACUCCUACGGGAGGCAGCAGUGGGGAAUUUGGACAAUGGGCGCAAGCCUGAUCCAGCCAUGCCGCGUGAGUGAAGAAGGCCUGGUUGUAAGACUCUUUCGGCGGGUACGGAAAAGUAAGUACGUACGCGUAACACCGACCGAGUCCACUGACGGUACCGACCGACGAAGAAGACGAACCGCCGUAACUAACCGUA
rnacentral:rRNA from 1 species